rnacentral:rRNA from 1 species
UUGACGGUACCCUACUAGAAAGGAGCCGCUAACUUCGUGCCAGAAGCGUCGGUAAUACGGGGGCUCCAAGCGUUAUCCGGUGUUAUUGGGCGUAAAGAGUCGUGUAGGUGGUUGGGUAAGUUAUCUUUCAAAUAUCUUUGCUUAACAAAGAGGAGGGGGAUAAUACUGCUCGACUAGAAUUUUCUCAAGGGAGAUCGGAACUGAGGGAGGAGUAGUGAAAUGCGUUGAUACCCUCGGGAACACCAGUGGCGUAGGCGGAUCUCUGGGAGAAGAUUGACACUGAGACACGAAAGCUAGGGGAGCGAAGCAGAUUAGAGACCUGCGUAGUCCUAGCCGUAAACGCAUGCUUGCUAGCUGCAUGAAUCUACCUUCGGGUGGUAUCGUGUGGCGAAGGUAACCCGUUAAGCAAGCCGCCUGGAAAGUACGGCCGCAAGGCUGAAAUUCAAAGGAAUUGGCGGGGAGGCACACAACCAGUGGAACAUGUGGUUUAAUUCGAGACUAACCGAAGAACCUCACCAGGGUUUGACAUGUAGCUGCACGUCUUAAGAAAUUAAGACUCUCUUGAAGGUGCUACACAGGUGCUGCAUGGCUGUCGUCAGCUCGUUCCGUGAGGAGUGCCCUUAAGUGGGACAACGAGCGCAACCCCUAUUACAUGUUAGAAAUGUCAUGUAGGACUGCCUUGCCAUUUGGCGGGGAGGAAGGAGGGG